rnacentral:rRNA from 1 species
UGAAUCCGGUUGAAAGUGAAAGUCGCCAGCUCAACUGGCGGAAUGCUUUCAAAACCAAUUCACUUGAGUAAGAUAGAGGAUAGUGGAAUUUCGUGUGUAGAGGUAAAAUUCACAGAUAUACGAAGGAACACCAAAAGCGAAGGCAGCUUUCUGGGUCUCUACUGACGCUAAGGUGCGAAAGCAUAGGGAGCAAACAGGAUUAGAUACCCUGGUAGUCUAUGCCGUAAACGAUGAGUGUUCGUCCUUGGUCUGCGCUGUAUGCAAAACGGCUGAUCAGGGGCCCAGCUAACGCGUUAAACACUCCGCCUGGGGAGUACGACGAGCGCAACCCUCGUUUUGUGUUGCUAAGACAUGCGUUUUGGGGUCGAUUCUCGAUCAUUUGAGACUGAUAGAGACCACGCGAAGAAUGUCACGACGCCGUCUGGCUACGAUCACACGGUUGAUUCGACGAGCACAGCUCUCCUAGCGUGGCACACAAAACAAUGUGGCACCCAGUCUUUGGAAACAGAAUUGACAAUCCAUGCCAUGGACUGCACUCACAAGAAACUGCCAGUGAUAUACUGGAGGAAGGUGGGGAUGACGUCAAGUCCGCAUGGCCCUUAUGGGCUGGGCUACAC